UUUAUAGAUAAACCAGAAGAAGCCUCAAAUUUACCACCAGAAGAUGUAAAUAAUUCUACUUGUUACACACCUGUGCGUAUGAAAGAAUUGAAGGAGUUUGAUUAUUAAAUUAUUAAAAAUAAUUAAAAUAAAUAAGUACUCAAAUAUAAGUUGUUUCAAUUGUGUUCCUAAUGUUUCUGCAAUGCUUGUUUUACCAAAAAUCUGAGUUAUAUAGUAUGAAUGCUAUCUUGCGCAAAUCAUUUGAGCUUCAGCUUUUAAUUAUGAUCUCCACUAUUAUAUUUAUUUAAUAAGAUAAAUAUUAGUAUUUAGUAAGAUAUUACAAGUUGUAUUAUUUGGAAGAAUUUUAAUUAAUUCUUUUAAGAUAAAUGUCUAAUAAAGAAAAUUAGAUUUAGAAAUUAAUCCGACCUAGUUACAGUAUUAUUUUAUUUUAAUGUUAGUGCAUACACAUUAUGUAUGUAAUUUAUUUUAAAAAUAAAGUGUAAAAAUAUAAUGUUUAAAAUCAAAUAUUUCAUUUAACAUUGAAAAUUGACAAUAAUCUUAUACUCUUCUUCAACAAAAUUACUUUAAAAUGUAAAUGCUUAAUUAAAUAAUAUACUGGUGAUGGCUUUAUACCUAACAUAUUUUAUAAAAAAAAAAAAAUUGUAUUUUUUUGUUUAAAAUGUACAUAAUCAUCUAUAAAGUAACUAUUUUUAUUCAUAUAAUUAGAAAUUUAGAAAAAGUAAAAAAAAUUAUUUAAAAUUAAUUGUGAUUCUAAUUUGUUUUUUUUUUUUUGAAAUUGUUCCAGAACAAAAUUAUUUUUUUUUUCAUAGUUUUUUGAAUAUCAAUUAUUAUUUGAUUUAAUUUUUCAAACUUAAAUUAAUGAAUAAUGUAUAACAUUUAGUGCUGAUUGUAUAACAUUAAAUAAGUAAUCAAUGUAAGAUUGAUAAUAUGUGAAACAUUUGAAAAUAUAUUACUUAAAUUCUAAUUUAACGCUUCCAUAUUAAUAGAAAUGUAUUAUAACCUAUUUAUAUCAAGUAAUAAUGUAUAUCAAGGUAGAAGAAGAAAUGGCUUUAUUAAGAAUGCUUAGCAGUAAUAAAAAAUAGACCACGCUUCAUAACUAGUAUUAUUACUGAUUAGUUCUAGUUUA